rnacentral:rRNA from 1 species
UACCUGGUUGAUCCUGCCAGUAGUCAUAUGCUUGUCUCAGAGAUUAAGGCA